CGCGUAGGUGGUUUGUUAAGUUGGAUGUGAAAGCCCCGGGCUCAACCUGGGAACUGCAUCCAAAACUGGCAAGUUAGAGUACGGUAGAGGGUGGUGGAAUUUCCUGUGUAGCGGUGAAAUGCGUAGAUAUAGGAAGGAACACCAGUGGCGAAGGCGACCACCUGGACUGAUACUGACACUGAGGUGCGAAAGCGUGGGGAGCAAACA
rnacentral:rRNA from 1 species